rnacentral:rRNA from 1 species
CCUACGGGCGGCUGCAGUGAGGAAUAUUGGUCAAUGGGCGCGAGCCUGAACCAGCCAAGUAGCGUGAAGGAUGACUGCCCUACGGGUUGUAAACUUCUUUUAUAAAGGAAUAAAGUGAGGCACGUGUGCCUCUUUGCAUGUACUUUAUGAAUAAGGAUCGGCUAACUCCGUGCCAGCAGCCGCGGUAAUACGGAGGAUCCGAGCGUUAUCCGGAUUUAUUGGGUUUAAAGGGAGCGUAGGUGGAUUGUUAAGUCAGUUGUGAAAGUUUGCGGCUCAACCGUAAAAUUGCAGUUGAAACUGGCAGUCUUGAGUACAGUAGAGGUGGGCGGAAUUCGUGGUGUAGCGGUGAAAUGCUUAGAUAUCACGAAGAACUCCGAUUGCGAAGGCAGCUCACUGGACUGCAACUGACACUGAUGCUCGAAAGUGUGGGUAUCAAACAGGAUUAGAUACCCCUGUAGUC